GUGGAUUAGAUACCCUGGUAGUCCUAGCCCUAAACGAUGUAGACUAGGCGUCGGAAGCUUAAUCGCUUUCGGUGUCCAAGCUAACGCGAUAAGUCUACCGCCUGGGGACUACGGCCGCAAGGUUAAAACUCAAAGGAAUUGACGGGUCCCCGCACAAGCAGCGGAGCGUGUGGUUUAAUUCGUUGCUACACGAAGAACCUUACCUGGGUUUGACAUAGCAGUGGUAGGGAAGCGAAAGCGGACCGACCCUUCGGGGAGCUGUUACAGGUGUUGCACGGCUGUCGCCAACU
rnacentral:rRNA from 1 species